UGAGGAAUAUUGGUCAAUGGCCGCAGGGCUGAACCAGCCAAGUCGCGUGAGGGAUGACGGUCCUAUGGAUUGUAAACCUCUUUUGUCAGGGAGCAAAGGGCGCCACGUGUGGCGUUUUGCGAGUACCUGAAGAAAAAGCAUCGGCUAGCUCCGUGCCAGCAGCCGCGGUAAUACGGAGGAUGCGAGCGUUAUCCGGAUUUAUUGGGUUUAAAGGGUGCGCAGGCGGAAUGUCAGGUCAGCGGUAAAAUUUCGGGCUCAACCCCGUCGUGCCGUUGAAACUGGCGUUCUUGAGUGAGCGAGAAGUAUGCGGAAUGCGUGGUGUAGCGGUGAAAUGCAUAGAUAUCACGCAGAACUCCGAUUGCGAAGGCAGCAUACCGGCGCUCAACUGACGCUCAUGCACGAAAGCGUGGGUAUCGAACAGG
rnacentral:rRNA from 1 species